rnacentral:rRNA from 1 species
CCUACGGGAGGCAGCAGUAAGGAAUAUUGGUCAAUGGACGCAAGUCUGAACCAGCCAUGCCGCGUGAAGGAUUAAGGUCCUCUGGAUUGUAAACUUCUUUUAUCUGGGACGAAAAAAGGCGAUUCUUCGUCACUUGACGGUACCAGAUGAAUAAGCACCGGCUAACUCCGUGCCAGCAGCCGCGGUAAUACGGAGGGUGCAAGCGUUAUCCGGAUUCACUGGGUUUAAAGGGUGCGUAGGCGGGCAGGUAAGUCAGUGGUGAAAUCCUAGAGCUUAACUCUAGAACUGCCAUUGAUACUAUCUGUCUUGAAUAUUGUGGAGGUAAGCGGAAUAUGUCAUGUAGCGGUGAAAUGCUUAGAUAUGACAUAGAACACCUAUUGCGAAGGCAGCUUACUACGCAUAUAUUGACGCUGAGGCACGAAAGCGUGGGGAUCAAACAGGAUUAGAUACCCUGGUAGUCCACGCCCUAAACCGAUGAUUACUCGACAUUUGUGAUACACUAUAAGUGUGUGAGNGAAGAGAUAAGUAAUACUACCUUAGGAGUAACGACCGACGAAGGUUAGUUAACGUUACGAAGAAGUUAGUUAGGACGNGAGAGAGCGACGGACGACGACGAGGAGGAGGAG